CGCUAUUCCAAAGAAAACACUCACGCUAGCCACGAGGACAAAAAGCAUUUAUUUUUGUCUGGGCAAAUUUGCCUUCAGACCAAAAGCUUCUCAAGAUGGCAAAUGUUCUGCCUGCUAGGAUGUUGCCAGAUAAAACAAUUACUUACUAGAGUCAAAAUAACUCCAAAAGCUAUGCACUGAAGAAGGCAAUGAACAAUGAAAAGGGGUCAGGCGUGGUGGCUCACGCCUAUAAUUCCAACACUUUGGGAGGCUGAGGCCAGAGGGCGGCUUGAGUCCAGGAGUUCAAGGCUGCAGUGAGCUAUGAUUGCACCACUGCACUUCAGCCUGGGUGUCAGAGCGAGACCCUGUCUCUAAAUAUAUAAAUUAAAAAGAAUGAAAAGAAUACUUCACCUCAGACCUCAGCCUUUCAUCCUUCAGCUGAAUGGAAUAUUUGGAUCUCACCUAUGAGCUCAAUAAGAAAAGAAAAACACAAAUGACUGAAAGCAGGACUUCAGCAGCCCUGAGAAAUCAUGGACGGGAAUCCACCUUUGUUUACUACAAAACACCCUGCUUCACGGUUUCUCAUUGUGCUACCUUCCUUCGGGGGAACCCCAGGAUUUCACAGGCUGAUAUCCCCAGCUACAUCCAAGUUUCCAGAAAUGAGGAUCCAUAGGCACAAAGUGAGGUGUCCCCAACCCUCCCUUUUUACAGCCCAUGCCUGAUAUUUAUCGGAACGUCCACAAGGCGAUGGUGAACGGUGGCCAAAUGAGAAGCUCAGUGUCUGGGAAAAUGAUUGAAAAUGGCCAAGUGCCACAGUGAGAGUUGUUUGUUCUGGGAAUGGAAGGAGGAAAUUGUCAGAGGAAGUGAAAUAGGAAAUGAAGAGAUCAAAGGGAGGAGGAAAUAAGAUUGAAUUGAGCCCUUUUUGGAUUCAACUUUGCACUCUUAACCCAUGUGAGGCAAAAAGAUUAGCCUUUAAACAGCUGGAGUUGGGGAGAAACACUUUCCAACGGGUGCAUCCUGGCGACUGUUAGCUCCCACAUCCCACCCCACAAAUGGACUGCAGCAGGGGAGCUGAGGGAAGCCAGAUCCGUUUCCUACAGAAAAUCCAGUGGUUUCUGAUGGCAGGAGGGAGGCGGUCUAUCUUCACUGCGGAUGGCGAGGUGCCUUUUGGAGGAGGAGGAUGGAGAGAAAGGGUCUCCAACAGCGAACCUUUGUCCUGCAAUGCAAAUGAACCUCUGCAAAACAGGGCGCAGACAAUGCCAGCCUAGUCCUCUGCGCGAAGCGAUCCAUCUGCAGCUAUUUUGUUAACCUGAUGUUUCUUACAUUCUUUCUCUCAUACAAAAUACUUGAUUUUGACAGCUGUGAAUUUUAAACAACCAUUCUGUGUAUGUUUUUCUAAUUUUGUGUAUUCAGAUUGUUUCUCCAUAUUGGGGGGGUUGGAAGCCAAGUACUUUACAUUCCUUCGUUUAGAGAUUUCAUGCUUUUCGAAAGUCGUGGCGGUUCUGAUCGCUAAACAAAGUAGAAAUGAAGUGUGCUCACCAGCAGCAUUGGAAUGACCGGGGAGUGCAGAAGCACUUUUGAAAUAAAAAAGGUUGCACAAGCGGACUGGAGGCAGGGCUCAGGAGUGACACAUCACUCAGUCACACUCUGGUGGCCCCAGGAAGCUGCGUCUGCCCUCACUUACCUGUAAAAUGGGGCUGCAACAACAUUCUCACAAGGCAGAAAAUAAAGAUCUCAUAUAUCCAGAAAAAAGGAAGCUGCAAAUAGGGCAAUUAUAAGGCUCAUUUUGUUUGCUACCACUGAGCUUUGAAAUCUGACUCACAGCUUCCUGGCAGCAAGAGUGAAAAGGGGAUGACGAUUAAUGACAAAGCCUCACUUCACUGGAGUAUACAGUUCUUCAAAGGAGAGAAGAAUUUUCCAGAUGCUUCAUUUUCAAAUAAAUUCUGCACUCAGGGCUCUUUAUAACGGGUCAAUGAGAACAGAAGUUCGCUGUCAACUGUGAGAGCAAACAGAGCUGCAAAAUUGCCAGGGCCAGAGCAAAAAAGUGAAGCAAAGGGGCACCUGUCUAGUGCCCAUUCCAGUUGUCUGGUGGUGGGCUCACAAAGUCUUAUCUUGAGAAGGAUUCAAGACCACAUCUAAGCUGGGCAAAAAAGAGGCUACACUAUGUUAGAGAUGCCUGCCAUAGGCAGAGGGCAGAUGAUGGCCCACACGUGUGCUGAAUAACUCCUAACCUUGGCUAAAUAAAUACAGCACAAAUGAGCAGGUUUCUGGUCUCCAACUUGAUCCAAAGAUAGAGCUCUAGGGGUUUAGUAGACUGGAUGGCAAUCAGGAUUUUUAGAUGUCCCUGAAUAACACUUUUCUCAGCUGGGACUCUGAGAGGAGGUAGAAGGCUGAUUGGAGUUUCUAUCAAUGCUUUGAAGGCAAAGCAAGCAGAUGGUGGGCUUGACAGCCGAAACUGUAGAAGCCUGAGCUGCAAACACACCCGAUUCAGGGCUGUACCACCUCCACACAGGCAUGGACCAGAUACUCUUUUUUUGUAAUUUGUAAGAUAUUUUUUCCUAUAGGAUACACUUUAGGGAAUUUCCUCUUUCUAUAUUUCACAUUUCUCUAUUAUUUGAACUUAUAACACAAAUCAGAGAAGAGUAUACUUAUUUUAAAUAUUUAGAUAUUAAAAUAUUUAAUAUUAAAAUAAUUUAGACAUUAUUUUAAAUUAGUCUUCCCUUUUUUCUUUCUUUCUUUUCCUUUUCUUUCUUUCUCUUUUUUCUUCUUUCUUUUCCUUUCUUUCUUUCUUUCUUUCUUUCUUUCUUUCUUUCUUUCUUUCUUUCUUUCUUCUUUCCUUCCUUCUUUCUUUCUCCCCUUCCUUCCUUUCUUACUUCCCUUCCUUCCUUCCUUUCUCCCCUUCCUUCCUUCCUUCCUUCCUUCCUGCCUUCCUUCCUUCCCUCCCUCUCUCUCUCUCUUUCUUUCUUUCUUCCUUUCUUUCUUUCCUUCACUACAAGUAUGCCAACAACCUGUAAGGACUAUCUUUAGAGUUCAGUAAAGCAAAAAUUUGAUCAAUAGGAACUCAUCUAAUGGUUUCAUUCACUCUACCCUUGGAAAGGAACAGAUAAUAAGAAAAGAAGCUCAGAGUCUAUGGUGGCCACAGAUCUUUCACAGACCCUGAAAAUUCACUCCCUCUUACCCCGUCUUCAGGGUCUCUACUUGGACAGGACAACAGUCAACAGGGUAUCCCGAAGGCCUGUCGUCAAGAAAACAAGUUAACAAACAACAACAACAAAACCAUUCACUUCAUCAAUAAUCAAGGCAGGAAAUACAAAGUAAUACCCUGGAACAAAAAUGGUUCAAAAAUGAAAUGGGUUGUGCAGAAGGCAGAAAGUCCAGGUAUCUUGGCUAGAUCCAGAGGCACUGCCCUUUGUGCACCUAGACCUCAAAUUCUCUUUUAGUUGCAAGACUCUGCCAUCCUGAGAGUGUCUGAACACGUUUUUCAGAAGACUCUGUAACAACAGUGAAUUUUUCAAAGCAGUUUUCUGGUGAGGCUUCAAUUAACCAGAAAAUCAGAUUAAUUGUGCAUGAACUUCUAUUUCUGGGAACAGUUUGACCCAUGGAAUAUGCAAGUAAGACGUGUAAAAGUAAGACGUGUUAAAAUGGGGCUCUCUGGUAUUUGCUUUAGAGCAUGGAAGAAUGGGAAAACAAGACAGUGAGGGCUGGGGGCCAAAGAAAAUGCUAUAUUUAGAUGUGCAGGGCUUUGUUUGGCCCUGAUACCAUCGUAGACACAGUUAGUCGGGAACAAGGGGGCCAUUCAAUCAAUCCACCUGACACGCUGUCGCCGGCCCGUGCGUUCCACAGGCACAGAGCUCAAAACCAUCCUGAAAGAGGCUGUCGACUGAGAAGAGGUAACAGCUGCUCUGUGGCAAUUAACCAGCAGUUUCUGUUGCUGAAGGAGAUUAUUUUGGAUGGCGUAAAGAGAUUCAAAUAAAAAUGUCAACGUGCCCAUUAUGGAUGAAAGUUAGAAAAACUUAAGUGGCCCUGAAUUAAUCACUAUUUGACAGGAAGGCACGUAAACGAGUACUAAAAAUCCCCCACAAAUCUAUUUUCCUGCCUUUUUGGUGAUUGUAAAGAAGCUCACUGGGGGUGGGGAGGGCAUUUCUUGGCUGCAACCUUAAUUCAUCUUGGAGUGAAGAUUUAAUGACAAAGUUACAAGCCCUUAAAGUAGCAUUUAUUGAGGGGCUAAUGAGAGUUCCUAAGAACUCUGAAAAAAAAAAAGAAAAAGAAAAAAUAGCAGCCACUAACACAAGAGGCCUUUGAAAAUACCGAAGAGAGGGGAGUUCAUUAGUCUUUUUUUUCUUCCCCUUUCUCAACAAUGAAUGUUUCUGCUGCCAAACCUUCAGGAAUAGGGUUGGUUUCCUUUCAAGUAAUUGAUGCAGACUUUGCUUGUGCAUCGGAGUCCAGACACUCUUUCCAACAAGAAGCAGGAAAUCUCACCGUCAAAGGGAAACUGUGCAUUCCUUCCUCUCUGGCUGGGUCGGGGCCUUGCAAACAGUGGAUUUAUGCUGCCCUUGCCAAAAACACCGCCGAUUUCCACGCCCUCCCAUGGCUAAGAUAACGAAUGCUGCCUUCGGCCUCUGAGAGCUGCACUUAUUUAAAACUCCAGCUAUGCUGUAACAAAACCGGCUGCUGUCACCCCAAAUCGAGCAAAUGAGCCCCUGUCCUACAGCAUAAAGGCUAAGAGAGUUAUUGAAUGUCCCCUGCGGAGAAGGCCCCAUUUGCCCCUGCCGUCCCUUAGCAUUCCCCCUCACCCCUCUUCUCGGCCCUCUCGCCUCCACUCCUCCAUUCCAGGAGCACAGGAAGGAAUAGCUGUGGCUGGUCUGUUCCGAAAGGAUCGAGUUUUCUUAAGUCAGAAUUUUUUUCUUUUAAAGAAAAAGCAGAAGUGGAAAGGAAUGUUGUGAAGAAAAUGGAAGCUGGCAAAGUGUUUUAACUUCAAAUAAUCUUCCCGUCAAUGCUGACACCCAAACGUAAUGCUCUUUUGUAAAUGUAAAUAUAACUGAACAGUUAUAGGAAGUGGAGAAGGAAGGAGAGGGGCUGUAAACCGCCAAAUGUAAAACAGGUAUCGUGACUUCUGGUCGCUCAAGACAGAGAGAAGCAUUGCUUUUGGAGCUAUUAUCCCCAAGGAGUCUCAAAAAUGAUCUACAACAUGUAAUUAAACUGACAUGCAGAAAACAUGUGUAUUUAGAAAAUGCUCUCACUGUUGUUUAUGCCUAACCAAAACAUUCCAUUUCUCUCAGGAUACAAAAGGAAGGUUUUGCAAUAAAAGUG
rnacentral:lncRNA from 1 species